UACCCAGCAAUGGGAUGCGAAUCUCGAAAGCCUGUCUCAGUUCGGAUUGGAGGCUGAAACCCGCCUCCAUGAAGCUGGAUUCGCUAGUAAUCGCGCAUCAGCCAUGGCGCGGUGAAUACGUUCCCGGGCCUUGUACACACCGCCCGUCAAGCCAUGGGAGCCGGGGGUGCCUGAAGUUCGUGACCGCAAGGAGCGACCUAGGGCAAAACUGGUGACUGGGGCUAAGUCGUAACAAGGUACC
rnacentral:rRNA from 1 species